AUGAUAUGGCCACUUCUGAACCAAGGAUAUUUAAUCGUGCCUGAAGUGGGGCUCAAAGAAGACAAACCCUGCAACCUCAAGCCAGUGGGCAACCUGGCUGCUGCCUCCCGUGAGCCCUUUCUGCCUCUGUCUUCCCGCCAAGCGCAGAGUCCCUGGCUCACAGUUGUUACCUUCACUCUGCUUAGAUGCAGCCUCCAUGAACCGGCAGUGGAUGUGCGCACCUUACCAGGAGAGUUCAGCUUUCCUCGGCUCUUCUGUUAGUCCUGGCAGUCCUCCAGCUGGCUGAGGGGACCUGUCUCCUCCAAGUAGGACCCCAGCACCAAAGGGCCCGAUCUGUGGCUCCAACCAUUGACUCCCCAGAGUAGGUUCCCCACUUCCCCACAUAUUCCCCCUUUUCCUCUGAGUCCCCGCCCAGUGGCACAGGUUCCAAUGCUAUUGCUUUCCUUCUCUUCCUACCUGAUUACCUGUGUAUCUUUCUUAGAGCUUUGGUGUACAGGAGUCCUUCCGCCAGUUUGCAGUGAAAACUGUCCCACAUGUAGAUUAUCUUUGAUGUGUUCAUCAGGGGAGGUGUGCUUCACAUCCUUAUACUCUGCCAUCUAGAUCUGAACCUCUCAGACCUCUGAUUUCUUAUAAUUAAGUCCAAAUUUUUUCAAUAUAUUCUUUUAACAUAAUCACCAAAAACAAAAAUUCACGGCCAAGUAACUAAGAAAUGUCUUGAACUCUAAUAAACACAUUCUGAAUAUUUAUGUUGAUUUUCAACUUUUAAUCAAAUGGCAAAAUAGAAAUUCUAUUUGUAAAAUAAGCAUUUACCUCCAUAGAGUUUGAAAGUUGAAAUAUGUUAAUAAAUUACUGUUAGCACAUAUAUUUGGGACUCUCUCCAAGUCCCAAAUUACUUAGGUAUUUUUCACAGUUCUUUUGGUUGAGUCCUUUCUUUUGUGUAUGUGUUUUUAAUGCCAGAAAUAGAUUUGAAGUGCUUUAAUUGUUGGCAUUUCUAUCUGAAAACAGUUGGAGUCGUAACGCUUAUUUUUGGCAAGCAGAAUCAACAUCCACCACAAAGCAAUCUGUAAUAUAAAGCCUAUAGCAUAAAUUUUUGUCUUUAGUGGGAGGAAAUUCACCACAAUAGGUUAGGGAACUUGUACGCAUUUACUUCUGAAGUUUAUGUGGCAGUUAAGUGAUUUUGGUAAAUGCCAAUUUCCUACUUAUUAGUAAGAACAUCUAUUUGUGCAACUCAAAUGGAAAAUAUAUGUUAAUAAAUUACUGUUAGCACAUAUAUUUGGGACUCUCUCCAAGUCCCAAAUUACUUAGGUAUUUUUCACAGUUCUUUUGGUUGAGUCCUUUCUUUUGUGUAUGUGUUUUAAUGCCAGAAAUAGAUUUGAAGUGCUUUAAUUGUUGGCAUUUCUAUCUGAAAACAGUUGAGUCGUAACGCUUAUUUUUGGCAAGCAGAAUCAACAUCCACCACAAAGCAAUCUGUAAUAUAAAGCCUAUAGCAUAAAUUUUUGUCUUUAGUGGGAGGAAAUUCACCACAAUAGGUUAGGGAACUUGUACGCAUUUACUUCUGAAGUUUAUGUGGCAGUUAAGUGAUUUUGGUAAAUGCCAAUUUCCUACUUAUUAGUAAGAACAUCUAUUUGUGCAACUCAAAUGGAAAAUAUAUGUGAUUGAAUGAUCUGUCUGCUCCAAAACUCCUCUUCAGCAAGAUAGGACUGUACAUUUCCAGUGCCUCGUUAAUGCACAAGUGGGGACCUCAAUUUUUGAGACCCAGUGCAAGAACUCAUGUCAUGGCAAACUUGAGAAAUAAUACUGCCAAGUGAACCAGAAAGAGAUUUUAUUUUAAACAGGCUUCAAAUGAAGGUUGAAGUAAUCUGAAACAGACACUUUCGCAAUCUACAUUUCAUGUUUUCCAAAGUGCUGACUGCCAGAGCAAAACAACAAAAUUGUUUCUGGAUAUGUGAAGGGAAAAAGGUUGAUAUCAGUUAUUCAUUUUUGCAGAUGCACAGUUCAGUAACUUGUACACAGAAACACUAUGCAAAUCUUUCUAAAAUUUGAAAAUACAGUAGUGGACGCCUCAUUAGACAAGGUUUUAAGUCAUCUGAGGAGUAACCAGGGACAGUUUGCCAGACUUCUACUCACCCCAGAUCACUGCCCCUCUGAGAUGAUUUAUAAGGUUCAUUUUAGAAAUACUUGUAGCACACACAUUCUGUAGAGAUUUGAACUUCAAAUGCUUUACAGUCUAAACUGAGCUUCACUGGACCAUGUAGUUUUACAACCGGAAAUCUUUCGGCAUUACUCCUUCUUGGGAAGAAACUGAGAAGACUGUGUUGCCUAUUUCAAAAGGAAUUUUUGCUUAAGU
ensembl:lncRNA